rnacentral:rRNA from 1 species
UACGAAGGUGGCAAGCGUUGUUCGGAUUUACUGGGCGUACAGGGAGCGUAGGCGGUUGGGUAAGCCCUCCGUGAAAUCUUCGGGCCUAACCCGGAAAGUGCGGAGGGGACUGCUCGGCUGGAGGAUGGGAGAGGAGCGCGGAAUUCCCGGUGUAGCGGUGAAAUGCGUAGAGAUCGGGAGGAAGGCCGGUGGCGAAGGCGGCGCUCUGGAACAUUUCUGACGCUGAGGCUCGAAAGCGUGGGGAGCAAACAGG